AUUGAACGCUGGCGGCAGGCUUAACACAUGCAAGUCGAGCGCGCGGCGGACGGGUGAUUAAUGUCUGUGCCACUGCCUGGUGGAUGGGGAUAACUACUGGAAACGGUAGCUAAUACCGCAUACCAUCAGCGGUCCCCAGAUGGGAUUAGCUAGUAGGUGGGGUAAUGGCUCACCUGGGCGACGAUCCCUAGCUGGUCUGCGAGGAGGACCAGCCACACUGGGACUGAGACACGGGCCAGAGUCCUACGUGAGGCAGCAGUGGGGAAUAUUGCACAAGGGGGGAAAGCCUGAUGCAGCCAUGCCGCGUGUAUGAAGAAGGCCUUCGGGUUGUAAAGGACUUUUAGCGGGGAGGCGGUACCCGCAGAAGAAGCACCGGCUAACUCCGUGCCAGCAGCCGCGGUAAUAC
rnacentral:rRNA from 1 species